AGCGAACGCUGGCGGCAGGCCUAACACAUGCAAGUCGAGCGCCCCGCAAGGGGAGCGGCAGACGGGAGAGUAACACGUGGGAACAUGCCCUUCAGUACGGAACAACCAAGGGAAACUUUGGCUAAUACCGUAUACGCCCGUAAGGGGAAAGAUUUAUCGCUGAAGGAUUGGCCCGCGUCUGAUUAGCUAGUUGGUGGGGUAAUGGCCCACCAAGGCGACGAUCAGUAGCUGGUCUGAGAGGAUGAUCAGCCACACUGGGACUGAGACACGGCCCAGACUCCUACGGGAGGCAGCAGUGGGGAAUAUUGGACAAUGGGCGCAAGCCUGAUCCAGCCAUGCCGCGUGAGUGAUGAAGGCCUUAGGGUUGUAAAGCUCUUUCGUCAGGGAAGAUAAUGACGGUACCUGAAGAAGAAGCCCCGGCUAACUUCGUGCCAGCCGCCGCCGUAAGAC
rnacentral:rRNA from 1 species